rnacentral:rRNA from 1 species
GUGGGGAAUCUUGCGCAAUGGGCGAAAGCCUGACGCAGCCAUGCCGCGUGAAUGAUGAAGGUCUUAGGAUUGUAAAAUUCUUUCACCGGGGACGAUAAUGACGGUACCCGGAGAAGAAGCCCCGGCUAACUUCGUGCCAGCAGCCGCGGUAAUACGAAGGGGGCUAGCGUUGCUCGGAAUUACUGGGCGUAAAGGGAGCGUAGGCGGACAGUUUAGUCAGAGGUGAAAGCCCAGGGCUCAACCUUGGAAUUGCCUUUGAUACUGGCUGUCUUGAGUUUGGGAGAGGUGUGUGGAACUCCGAGUGUAGAGGUGAAAUUCGUAGAUAUUCGGAAGAACACCAGUGGCGAAGGCGACACACUGGCCCAAUACUGACGCUGAGGCUCGAAAGCGUGGGGAGCAAACAGGAUUAGAAACCCCGGUAGUCC